UACAUACUAGCUCACUGGUAGAGCAAUCGACUUGAAAUCGAUGUGUCGCGGGUUCGAUUCCCGUGUAUGAAC
rnacentral:tRNA from 2 species